UGGCGGACGGGCGAGUAACGCGUGAGAAUCUGCCUUCAGGACGGAGACAACAGUUGGAAACGACUGCUAAGCCCCGAUGAACCGAAAGGGAAAAUAUUUAUAGCCUGAAGAUGAGCUCGCGUCCGAUUAGCUAGUUGGCGGAGUAAAAGCCCACCAAGGCGACGAUCGGUAGCUGGUCUGAGAGGACGAUCAGCCACACUGGGACUGAGACACGGCCCAG
rnacentral:rRNA from 1 species